CCUUCACGACUAUCCAUUUAACGGCUGGGGCAGAAACCCAUUUAAACUCCCGUAAUUAUCCUGAAGAUGAAGACAUUCUGGUGAACAUCACAUCUCCUGCAAACAGCCAAAUCCAACUUUAUAUUACGUUCGAUCCAAUCCAAACUAAUCAUGGCAAUGAUGUAGUUUACGUAUACGAAGGAUGGACAUCGAAUCAAGUUGUACCAACGAAAAGAUGGGAUCUAUCUGCAUCAUCUUUCCCGGUGAAUAUUACAUCACAUGGGUCGUAUAUAUGGAUACAAUUCAAUCGUAACGCUGGCAAACGGAGGGACAUCUUUCAGGUUGUUGCAUCUUCUCAGAUCCGAAAUAUCAGUUUGCAGCCUUGGAAUCAUGCAUCCAUUC
rnacentral:misc_RNA from 1 species